rnacentral:rRNA from 1 species
UACGUAUGGUGCAAGCGUUAUCCGGAUUUACUGGGUGUAAAGGGAGCGCAGGCGGCACGGCAAGCCUGAUGUGAAAGCCCGCGGCCCAACCGCGGGACUGCAUUGGGAACUACCGGGCUGGAGUGCCGGAGAGGUAGGCGGAAUUCCUAGUGUAGCGGUGAAAUGCGUAGAUAUUAGGAGGAACACCAGUGGCGAAGGCGGCCUACUGGACGGUGGCUGACGCUGAGGCUCGAAAGCGUGGGGAGCAAACAGG